AGUUAAAGAAGUUGUCUGCGACAUCAAUCAAACACCUUCAGGAGACUGGUUGGGGUGAACAAUUCGUAGGUUUGGAUCAGUUAGAAGUCAGCUGUUCUCAGUGGUCCCUGGCAACGUAACAGCAAACCGUUUACUUGUUGUGCCAUUUGUUUGUUAGAAAACGGCUUAUCCAUAAAAGAAACCAGGAGGAAGAUUUCUGUCCACACCCAGCCCCAGGGGAAGUUUUUUGGUUUCGUCCGAGUCAGAAAGCCUGAGUGUGUCUCGUACACCCGUCAGCUGUGCUGCCCUCCUGCCGAUUGACAAGGCAAGCCUGACAACCAACGAUUGGACGGUACCAUGGCCACACCUUCACCUGAGCUCAUGCCCCUCUGGGCCGGACUGGCAGUGUGCGGUUCCGUCCUGAUCGCCACCGUCGCUGCCGUGGUGACGUACUGCCACUUCCGACACCAGUCCCGCCGCGACCAGCGUCUCCGCGCCAGACUGGACCGCGUCAACCAGCAACUCACCAAACUGUGGGGGCCGCUGUACGGCAACAGACUGGCCAAUCACAAGGCGUACGCCCAGGCCUUGGGCACACAUUCCACCCUGGACUCGUACCUGAACGACUCGCUGCAAGUCUGGCAGAUGGACCGACACACCGGCAGCAUGAUGCUCUCACGAUGGCGGACAUUCCUCUUCUACGUCAUGUACCCACUAGACCUGAAGGCAGAGGAGAUCAUACGCAACCACAUCCACCUCUGCGAGGGACAUUUUCCUCAGGGGUUUGCCGACUUCCUCUUCCACACCAACUACCUGCGCAUCGUCUUGUCUCACUGGCAGCUCAGGAAAGACGGGACUCUGGACACAGAGAUCGAGUACGCUCAGGAAGACGACUUCUACCGCGAGAACAACGGUGGAUUCACCUUCCACUAUCCCAUAUUUGACCAGCUGGACGCGUUCGUGAAGGACACAUAUGAGAGUCUGCUAAUGCACCAGCAGGUCUUGAUGGCAGCACUGAAGGAGGGCGACAACGGUUUUGUCGGAACAGUUCGCGUCAAUCCUCUCGGAGCCGACCGAGGCACUGAAGCUACCGAAGCCUACCCGAUGUAUGUCCCCCAGGGUCAAGCCGUCAACCCCACCAAGGGAGACAACGAAGUUAUCGAAGCCUAUCCGCCGAUCUAUGUCCCCGUCCUCGACCCCGCCAAAGGAGACAAGCGAGCUACAAACGGCCAUGGCAGUGUUCGCAGGGACAUUGAAGAUCGAGCUCUGACUCUGGAGCCAGAUGAACGUUGAAACCUCAACACGAAGGACAUCGUCUUGAGAACACUGUUUACUAAAAUUCCUAUCGACAGUCACAUCGUAGUAGUAGGGUGGUGGGACAGACAGCUAAUUGUAAAAUUGAAAGAUUCCCAAAUGGAAGAAAAUGAUUCUGUUACACGGCAUUUCCAUAGUACAUAGAACUUUAUUGCGCGACAAUUGCACAAGGUACAAUGUAUGGCAAUACACGUACAGUGUAAUACUAGUAUUCAAGCACAUAUUCGAUUGGGAAGUCGUAACCUUUUUCUGGUUUGGCGUCAGGCAGUCGACCACAUGACCACAUUCACCCUGCUCUGCUUGGAGUCUGAGAUUAAGAAUCUUAGAGACAUUUGGUCAUUGAACUGUGCCAAAAGUAAGCGCACAGAACUCCCUGUAAACGCGCGCGUUGUAAGAUUUUAAUCCCCGGAAUGACUGGAUUAGGACUAAAUCCUAUUGGCAAAGCCGUGUACAGCUAGUGAUGCAGGUUCGAUUCUGUAACAUUCCAUUUUUGGUGUCUGCCUCAGUUGUUAACCACCAUUCAGAACUGUUAAUGUGGACAUGUGUAUCUGUGAUCCCACUAUAUAUAACAUGUAUAACCGUCUCUCGACCCUGUAAUGUGAAUGUAACAAAUUUAGUUGUGGUUUAACACAAUUGUAAACAGACGUCUUCUAAUUUCAUUGUCGUCACGGUCAACUAACAGUUAAUACGUUGUCAAUACUAAUUGCGAAAGUUAAGCAAUUUAAUCCUUAACCUGGCAUCCGGUGUUGCGUUUCCGAUUGUAACAUUCCAUACUGACAAUGACUGUAGUAGACAUCCGACCGUUCCAUUACAUAGAAGUAGCGCUCUAAGGGUCUCACUGUUUUGACAAUAAACAUGCCAAAACUGGAAAUAAUUUCUAGAGUGUUAGUAUAUAGGAAAUUGUAUAUGUAUACAUAUAUAUGAUUUAUCAUAAGGCCUAUGAACCGGUGGAGCCUGGCAGGAAGUCAUCUGGUAAUGAUGAUGACAUCAGUGGCAAGCCUGAAGGGGACAUACAGGACACGUACACGCCACAAGACAUCCACCAGGAGCUACAGAGUGUGGUGUACGUACCAAACAAUUGAUCACAUAACCUGCCUGCUGAUGCCAUCUCUCAUAUGCUCGAGUGGUCUUUGGAUUCUUCCUUUAACUUUUAAGAAAGGAAUAGCUCCGACACACACUUGUAUUCCUUUAGUUUAAAAUUACUAGUCUCCCCCAGACCUCAUGGGGGAAACGAAAUUGUACAAAUCAGCUUAAAUUGAGGGACAAUUUCAGCAGAGGCUUGGCUCAUCUUUGGAGUAAAAAUUGGCCUGCCCAAGCCUUGCAGCUUGUAACUCUAUGGCUGGCGAACUCCUACUACUUUUUCCCAGCUACCCGUGUAGUAUGGAGGACACUAUAACAUAUAGGAAAAACGCAAGCUACGUUCGUGUAAAAUCAUGGCAUAGAGCGGGACAAAAAUACGGGUCGUAAGCACUAACCUUAUAUGGUAGGGUAUUAAGAAAGGAUGUGUACAGUUAAUAGGGCAUGAGAAUUUAACCUGUUUUGUAGACUUAAACAUAUUUCCUAGUGUAAGACUUGUUUAACCAAUCCUUAAAACUGUCAACAUAU